rnacentral:rRNA from 1 species
AUUGAACGCUGGCGGCAGGCCUAACACAUGCAAGUCGAACGAGUGGCGGACGGGUGAGUAAUGUCUGGGAAACUGCCUGAUGGAGGGGGAUAACUACUGGAAACGGUAGCUAAUACCGCAUACCAUCAGAUGUGCCCAGAUGGGAUUAGCUGGUUGGUGGGGUAACGGCUCACCAAGGCGACGAUCCCUAGCUGGUCUGAGAGGAUGACCAGCAACACGGGAACGAGGACACGGUCAAGACGCCUACGGGGGGAAGCAUGGGGGAAUAUUGGACAAGGGGCGAAAGCCGGAUGCAGCAAUGCGGCGUGUAUGAAGAAGGCCUUAGGGUUGUAAAGUACUUUCAGCGGGGAGGCGUUACCCGAAGAAGAAGCACCGGCUAACUCCGUGCCAGCAGCCGCGGUAAUAC